rnacentral:rRNA from 1 species
UUGGUGCUUGCAUCAUGAUUUACAUUUGAGUGAGUGGCGAACUGGUGAGUAACACGUGGGAAACCUGCCCAGAAGCGGGGGAUAACACCUGGAAACAGAUGCUAAUACCGCAUAACAACUUGGACCGCAUGGUCCGAGUUUGAAAGAUGGCUUCGGCUAUCACUUUUGGAUGGUCCCGCGGCGUAUUAGCUAGAUGGUGGGGUAACGGCUCACCAUGGCAAUGAUACGUAGCCGACCUGAGAGGGUAAUCGGCCACAUUGGGACUGAGACACGGCCCAAACUCCUACGGGAGGCAGCAGUAGGGAAUCUUCCACAAUGGACGAAAGUCUGAUGGAGCAACGCCGCGUGAGUGAAGAAGGGUUUCGGCUCGUAAAACUCUGUUGUUAAAGAAGAACAUAUCUGAGAGUAACUGUUCAGGUAUUGACGGUAUUUAACCAGAAAGCCACGGCUAACUACGUGCCAGCAGCCGCGGUAAUACGUAGGUGGCAAGCGUUGUCCGGAUUUAUUGGGCGUAAAGCGAGCGCAGGCGGUUUUUUAAGUCUGAUGUGAAAGCCUUCGGCUCAACCGAAGAAGUGCAUCGGAAACUGGGAAACUUGAGUGCAGAAGAGGACAGUGGAACUCCAUGUGUAGCGGUGAAAUGCGUAGAUUUAU